rnacentral:tRNA from 1 species
GCCACCCUAGCUCAGCAGGCAGAGCAAGCGCCUUGUAAGCGCUGGGUCGUCGGUUCGAAUCCGACGGGUGGCU